rnacentral:rRNA from 1 species
UUUCACUGAUUAUUUUGAGUGCAAGAGACGGUUUUUGAAUUUCUGGAGUUAGGAGUGAAAUCCACUGAUAUCAGAAAGACUUUCGAAGGCGAAAGCAUUUGCCGAUUUUACUCUGACGUUCAGGCACGAAAGCGUAGGGAGAAAGGGGAUUAGAGACCCCCGUAGUCUACGCCUUAAACUAUGAGUGUUCAACGUCUUUAGAUUUUUGGUUAAGAUCAUCUUGCCAAAAUCUAGUGGGGGUUUAAAGCUAACGCGUGAAACACCGCCUGGGGAAUGUGGCCGCAAGGUAAACUCAAAGGAAUGACGAG